AAAUACGGUAACAGCGAAACCAGGAGGAAGCCAGCCCUGUGCCUGGAGGGGAUCCGCCAUCUCAGAUCUCGGCCUUGCGCAGGGCCCACCAGAGGAAAUUAACGCUCUGGUCCUGUCAUACCUAUGGGGGACCAACCUUGUGCCUCCGGGAGAUCCACGCUCCCACCAGGAAACACGCGGGAACCCAAGCCUCCAAAAAAGCGCUGUGUCCUGGCUCCGCGGUGGGAUUAUCCUGAAGGGACUCCCAGUGGAGGUAGUACCACUCUCCCCUCGGCGCCUCCUCCGGCAUCUACUGGACUCAAGUCGCACCCUCCUCCUCCGGAGAAGUAGUGAAAUAGAUUUUUUUCCCAGACGAAAUCAGACAGGAAAUACGGUAACAGCGAAACCAGGAGGAAGCCAGCCCUGUGCCUGGAGGGGAUCCGCCAUCUCAGAUCUCGGCCUUGCGCAGGGCCCACCAGAGGAAAUUAACGCUCUGGUCCUGUCAUACCUAUGGGGGACCAACCUUGUGCCUCCGGGAGAUCCACGCUCCCACCAGGAAACACGCGGGAACCCAAGCCUCCAAAAAAGCGCUGUGUCCUGGCUCCGCGGUGGGAUUAUCCUGAAGGGACUCCCAGUGGAGGUAGUACCACUCUCCCCUCGGCGCCUCCUCCGGCAUCUACUGGACUCAAGUCGCACCCUCCUCCUCCGGAGAAGUAGUGAAAUAGAUUUUUUUCCCAGACGAAAUCAGUCUGUGAGGGAUUGCAGUAUGGUUCCGUUUCCUUGGUGCGUUUGUAAAAUAGUUUACCCAUUGAAGACCAUGAAGAUUCUUUCCAAUGCUACCCUGCUUUUGCUGGUGUCCUGCACCUGGAAGUUGUGAUGCUAAAGGCUCAUCUUAUAUUUUCUACCCCAUUGACCAUUUCUCUAUUUGACUGUGCCACUGGGAGACCGUAUUUACAAACUGAGGUCUUUCAGGUCUAUGGCUGGAUCAAUGCCCUUGUACUUAUUAAAGGGCCGUCACAUCAACAAAGAGGCCUUUUGGUAUUGUGAACCUUACAAGAAGGAGAGAGUUUGUAUUGUCUUUUCACUGCAUAUGUGAGUUACUGCCCAUUAAAAAGGACUGGAUCCAGGAAACAUUCACUUAGCCCAUUCUUUCCUUUCUGGUUCAUACUUACCCUCCUCUGCCUUUCUUAUGAUUCAGAGCUCUCAAUUGCUUUAGAAGACAGUGUAAGACAGAGGACAUGCUCUAAAAAGAGAUCAUGGGCCUUUGAGGUAUUUGGUGACCUUUUCUGGUGCUCACUCAUAGAUGAGAUACUCAUUUCUUCUACUGUCUAGAUGCCUUUCUUGGCUGGUUGACUAGGCCCAAGACAGUAUAGCCUUGAGCUGAAUUUACAGGACUAUUAGAAAGUAGUCGUAUAGCAAAUUAAUGGUUAAUCUAGUCCUGGGUCCAGCAGCUUAUGCUGUAGAGUGUAGGACUAUGAUUUGAAUCUUCUUAAUGUGGUCACUGUAUGUGUGUGUGUGUGUGUGUGUGUAUGAGAGAGAGAGAGAGAGAACUGUGUGUGUAUGCAUUGUGU
rnacentral:sRNA from 1 species